UACGUGGGGUGCAAACGUUGCUCGGAAUUAUUGGGCGUAAAGCGCGCGUAGGCGGUUACUCAAGUCGGGUGUGAAAGCCCUCGGCUUAACUGAGGAAGUGCACCCGAAACUGAGUAGCUAGAGUACUAAAGAGGGUCGCGGAAUUCCCGGUGUAGAGGUGAAAUUCGUAGAUAUCGGGAGGAACACCGGUGGCGAAGGCGGCGACCUGGGUAGAUACUGACGCUGAGGCGCGAAAGCGUGGGGAGCAAACAGG
rnacentral:rRNA from 1 species